CGCGCUGAUAAUUGGAAGUCCGUAUUCGUAACCGGGAUCUCCGGAUUGUGCAACAGCAUUCGUUGAAGUCGAUGGAACAAAUGUUGUAGUGAAUUUCUGAGCCAGUACGAAAUUCGGUCCAGAUCCAGAAGCUGUAAUUGUAUAGCUGACUGAUGCCACCGAAUUUUGACAAGAAGAGCCAGCAGACGAAAAUAAUGGUGCAGCAUAGUUGCAAGUAGUCGGGUCUGAUAGUGUAAAAAUGAGUGUCAUCAGCGUGGAAAAUGUAAAAUAAACUUAAUGGAAAACUCAGUAAAAAUGGAUACAAAAAUCAAAAUCGUACAUAUUUAAAGUUUAUAACAUUAAAAGUGAUGCAUCCUAUGAA